UCUGAAUAUUCACACCUGCACCUGAUCCCUGUAAUCACCACCGGCAUUUCAGCCCUGCUAUGAGGCUUCUCCAGUGCCAGAUUAUUCCUGCAUCAGAUAGUGCCUCCACAAGCCCCACUGCUACCACCCAAUCUCUGCCCUUCUCCCCAGCCUCCUCCUUAAGCUCGCACUUCUCCAGCCAGGAUUUCCCUCAUCACACCUUGGACCCUGGAUCCCUUCCCUCCUUGCUUCCUUCAAUAAAUUCACUGAACUGAU